rnacentral:rRNA from 1 species
UACGUAGGGUGCAAGCGUUGUCCGGAAUUAUUGGGCGUAAAGAGCUCGUAGGCGGUUUGUCGCGUCGGCUGUGAAAACUCGGGGCUCAACCCCGAGCCUGCAGUCGAUACGGGCAAACUAGAGUGUGGUAGGGGAGAAUGGAAUUCCCGGUGUAGCGGUGAAAUGCGCAGAUAUCGGGAGGAACACCGGUGGCGAAGGCGGUUCUCUGGGCCUUACCUGACGCUGAGGAGCGAAAGCGUGGGGAGCGAACAGG